rnacentral:tRNA from 1 species
GGUCGCGUGGCCCAAUGGCAAGGCGUCUGACUACGACUCGAUACCGAGAUCAUCUCGGGUAUUCAAGUACAUCAGGAGAUUGCGGGUUCGAUCCCCGUCGUGACCU